rnacentral:lncRNA from 1 species
AGGACCAGGUGCCACCUCCUCUGGGAAGCUUUCCCUGCCCAUCCACAGGGUAUGCCUCCUUGUUCCUCUCCUGCCAUCAGUUUACGUGCCUGUCUCCAUCAACAGACCAGGAGCUCCUGAGGACAGGGACUGAGUCUGUCUGAUUCAUCUCUGCAUUCCUAGCACUUACCUUGGUGCUUAGUGAAAGCUCGAACCUGCCUGGGUUCCCACCUUGUCUCUGCUACCCCCAGCUCUGUGAACUCAGAGUCAUUUUUCUCUCCCCGAGUGGCACCGGGCUCAGCAGACACUCUGGCCAUGAAGGCAUCUUCUGACUCAAGCAGGCUGGAGUGCAAUGGCGCAAUCUCGGCUCACUGCAACCUCUGCCUUCCAGGUUCAAGCAAUUCUCCUGCCUCAGCCUCCCGAGUAGCUGGGAUUAUAGGCAUGCACCACCACGCCCAGAGCCAACUACUAAGCCUGUAGCAGCCUCCCAAACUGUCCAGUUUUGUUCAGAUGCACCUCCAGAAACACAGGGGUCCAAAAUGCCUCUUCCCAGACACCCUGAGGAGUAGAACAGUGCCAGCAGGCUCCAGGGAUGAGGGACUAGCUACCACAUUCCCUUUCCCAAGCCUCAGUUUCCCCACCUGUAAGAUGAGGGAUAUGGGCUCUGACUUUCUGAGUUUGGAAAAUAAAGUGCUCCCCAAACUGG